AUACGCGUAGAACCUUACCUGGACUUGACAUAUAGGGAAAAGCUAAAGAAGUUUAGUGUGCGUAAGCGCCCUAUACAGGUGGUGCAUGGCCGUCG
rnacentral:rRNA from 1 species